rnacentral:rRNA from 1 species
GACGAACGCUGGCGGCGUGCUUAACACAUGCAAGUCGAACGGAAAGGCCCUGCUUUUGUGGGGUGCUCGAGUGGCGAACGGGUGAGUAACACGUGAGUAACCUGCCCUUGACUUUGGGAUAACUUCAGGAAACUGGGGCUAAUACCGGAUAGGAGCUCCUGCUGCAUGGUGGGGGUUGGAAAGUUUCGGCGGUUGGGGAUGGACUCGCGGCUUAUCAGAUUGUUGGUGGGGUAGUGGCUUACCAAGGCUUUGGCGGGUAGCCGGCCUGAGAGGGUGACCGGCCACAUUGGGACUGGGCUACGGCCCAGACUCCUACGGGCGGCAGCAGUGGGGAAUAUUGCACAAUGGGCGGAAGCCUGAUGCAGCAACGCCGCGUGCGGGAUGACGGCCUUCGGGUUGUAAACCGCUUUCGCCUGUGACGAAGCGUGAGUGACGGUAAUGGGUAAAGAAGCACCGGCUAACUACGUG